rnacentral:rRNA from 1 species
UACGUAGGGUGCAAGCGUUGUCCGGAAUUAUUGGGCGUAAAGAGCUCGUAGGCGGUUUGUCGCGUCUGCUGUGAAAACCCGAGGCUCAACCUCGGGCCUGCAGUGGGACGGCGAGACUAGAGUGCGGUAGGGGAGAUUGGAAUUCCUGGUGUAGCGGUGGAAUGCGCAGAUAUCAGGAGGAACACCAAUGGCGAAGGCAGAUCUCUGGGCCGUAACUGACGCUGAGGAGCGAAAGCAUGGGGAGCGAACAGG